AGACGAAGGUGGCAACCGUUGUUCGGAAUCACUGGGCAUAAAGAGCACGUAGGCGGGUGUGUAAGUCGGGUGUGAAAUCCCUCGGCCUAACCGAGGAACUGCGCCCGAAACUGCGCGUCUUGAGGGCAGGAGGGGAGCGUGGAAUUCCUGGUGGAGCGGUGAAAUGCGUUGAUAUUAGGAGGAACACCGGCGGCGAAGGCGACGCUCUGGCCUGCUUCUGACGCUGAGGUGCGAAAGCCAGGGGAGCAAACGGGAUUAGAAACCCCGGUAGUCC
rnacentral:rRNA from 1 species